AGAUUAAAACUCAAAGGAAUUGACGGGGACCCGCACAAGCGGUGGAUGAUGUGGAUUAAUUCGAUGCAACGCGAAAAACCUUACCUACCCUUGACAUGGAAGGAAUCCCCGAGAGAUUGGGGAGUGCUCGAAAGAGAACCUUCACACAGGUGCUGCAUGGCUGUCGUCAGCUCGUGUCGUGAGAUGUUGGGUUAAGUCCCGCAACGAGCGCAACCCUUGUCAUUAGUUGCUACGAAAGGGCACUCUAAUGAGACUGCCGGUG
rnacentral:rRNA from 1 species